rnacentral:rRNA from 1 species
GUUAUUGAAUAUAAAGAAAAGACGAACAGCUCAGUAACUCUUAUUUUAUUUGAUGUAUUAGGAUUAUAACUAUGUUAAAUUAUAGAUAACAAUAAUACAAUAAGAAUAAGAUCUAUCAGUUAGUUGUUAAGGUAAUGGCUUAACAAGACUAUGACGGAUAACGGUAUUACUUUGUAAUAUUCCGGAGAAGGAGCCUGAGAGAUUGCUACUAAGUCUAAGGAUUGCAGCAGGGGCGAAACUUGACCUAUGAUAUGAUAUUGAGGCAGUUAUGAGUAGUAUUUUUAAUUAUUGUAGUAUUGUAAGUAUAUACUACAAGAUAAAUCGGAGGGCAAAUCGAGUGCCAGCAGCCGCGGUAAUACUUGUUCCGAUAGUGUGUAUGAUGAUUGAUGCAGUUAAAAAGUCUGUAGUUUAUGAUUAAUAAGCAUUGUGAGGUAUAUUGUAUGGUUAGGAGAGAGAUGAAAUGUGAUAACCCUAACUGGAUGAACAGAAGCGAAAGCUAUAUACUUAAAUGUAUUAUUAGAACAAGGACGUAAGCUAGAGGAUCGAAGAUGAUUAGAUACCAUUGUAGUUCUAGCAGUAAACUAUGUUAAAUCAUAGAUACAUUUUAAUAUGUAUUUAUGUAAAGAAAUUAAGAUUAUAUUGACUCUGGGGAUAGUAUGAUCGCAAGAUUGAAAAUUAAAGAAAUUGACGGAAGAAUACCACAAGGAGUGGAUUGUGCGGC